UACGGGGGAUGCAAGCGUUAUCCGGAAUCAUUGGGCGUAAAGCGCCUGUAGGUUGUUUAAUAAGUCUGUUGUUAAAGACUAGGGCUCAACCCUAGGAAAGCAAUGGAAACUACUAGACUAGAGUAUGGCAGGGGUAGAGGGAAUUUCUAGUGUAGCGGUGAAAUGCGUAGAUAUUAGAAAGAACACCGGUGGCGAAAGCGCUCUACUGGACCAUUACUGACACUCAGAGGCGAAAGCUAGGGUAGCAAAAGGGAUUAGAUACCCCUGUAGUCCUAGCCGUAAACGAUGGAUACUAGAUGUUGUGUAUUAUGUACAGUAUCGUAGCUAACGCGUUAAGUAUCCCGCCUGGGGAGUACGCUCGCAAGGGUG
rnacentral:rRNA from 1 species